AAAGUCCGUAACAAGGUUUCCGUAGGUGAACCUGCGGAAGGAUCAUUACCGAGUGCGGGCCCCUCGGGGCCCAACCUCCCACCCGUGUUGCCCGAACCUAUGUUGCCUCGGCGGGCCCCGCGCCCGCCGACGGCCCCCCUGAACGCUGUCUGAAGUUGCAGUCUGAGACCUAUAACGAAAUUAGUUAAAACUUUCAACAACGGAUCUCUUGGUUCCGGCAUCGAUGAAGAACGCAGCGAAAUGCGAUAACUAAUGUGAAUUGCAGAAUUCAGUGAAUCAUCGAGUCUUUGAACGCACAUUGCGCCCUCUGGUAUUCCGGAGGGCAUGCCUGUCCGAGCGUCAUUGCUGCCCUCAAGCCCGGCUUGUGUGUUGGGCCCCGUCCCCCCCGCCGGGGGGACGGGCCCGAAAGGCAGCGGCGGCACCGCGUCCGGUCCUCGAGCGUAUGGGGCUUCGUCACCCGCUCUAGUAGGCCCGGCCGGCGCCAGCCGACCCCCAACCUUUAAUUAUCUCAGGUUGACCUCGGAUCAGGUAGGGAUACCCGCUGAACUUAAGCAUAUCAAUAA
rnacentral:rRNA from 1 species